rnacentral:rRNA from 1 species
UGACCUAAACCCUCACCAGAGUAACAAUUGGAGGGCAAGUCUGGUGCCAGCAGCCGCGGUAAUUCCAGCUCCAAUAGCGUAUAUUAAACUUGUUGCAGUUAAAAAGCUCGUAGUUGAAUUUUUGCGUGGUGUUAAUAUUGACUGAUGUCGAGAUUGCACUUCGCUUUUGGGAUUUUUCCCUUUUUACUUUGAGAAAAUUAGAGUGUUUCAAGCAGACUUUUGUCUUGAAUACUUCAGCAUGGAAUAAUAGAGUAGGACUUUGGUUCUAUUUUGUUGGUUUGUGAACCUUAGUAAUGGUUAAUAGGAACGGUUGGGGGCAUUCGUAUUUAACUGUCAGAGGUGAAAUUCUUAGAUUUGUUAAAGACGAACUACUGCGAAAGCAUUUGCCAAGGACGUUUUCAUUAAUCAAGAACGAAAGUUAGGGGAUCGAAGACGAUCAGAUACCGUCGUAGUCCUAA